rnacentral:rRNA from 1 species
AACGAACGCUGGCGGCGCGUUUUAAGCAUGCAAGUCGAACGGGAUUUCGGUAGCAAUACUGGAUGAGAGUGGCGCACGGGUGAGUAACACGUAGGUAAUCUGCCUUGGGAUCGGGGAUAGCUCAUGGAAACAUGGGGUAAUACCGGAUACGUCUCCUGGGAUGAUUUUCCAGGGGGGAAAGGCCCUUUACGGGGUCGUCCUUAGAUGAGCCUGCGGUCCAUUAGCUAGUUGGCGGGGUAACAGCCCACCAAGGCGACGAUGGAUAGCCGGCCUGAGGGGGUGUACGGCCACACUGGGACUGAGACACGGCCCAGACUCCUACGGGAGGCAGCAGCUAAGAAUCUUCUGCAAUGGGCGAAAGCCUGACAGAGCGACGCCGCGUGGACGAUGAAGGCCGAAAGGUUGUAAAGUCCUUUUCUUUGUGAAGAAUAAGCGGGGGAGGAAAUGCCCCCGUGAUGACGUUAACAGAGGAAUAAGCCCCGGCCAAUUACGUGCCAGCAGCAGCCGCGGUAACAC